rnacentral:lncRNA from 10 species
GGAGGUUGCAGUGAGGGCCGAGAUCAAACCACCGCACUCCAGCUUGGGCAAUAGAGUGAGACUCCGUCUCACAAAAAAUAAAAAUAAAAAAAGACACUGAGUGGGCCUGGUUGGUCUCAAAAUUGCCACCGCUCCAGGUCAGGCAGGGUGGCUCACCGCUGUAAUCCCAACACUUUGGGAGGCUGAAACGAGCUGAUUUCAUGAGCUCAGGAGUUCAUGACAAGCCUGGGCUACGUGGCGAAACCCCAAGUCUACAAAAAAUACAAAAAUUAGCCGGGCUGUGGUGUGCACCUGUAGACCUAGCUACUCCGAAGGCUGAGGCAGGAGAAUUGCUUGAGCCCAGGAGGCAGAGGUUGCAGUGAGCCGAGAUCGGGCCACUGCACUCCAGACUGAGCAACAGAGGGAAACCCUGUCUCAAAAAAAAGAAAAGAAAAAAGAAAAAACGCCACCACUCCAAGCCUCUAGGGCAGUACUUCUCAAACCUAUUUGCUUAGGAAUCACCUGGGAUCUUAUUAAAACGUAGACUCUAAUUCAGCAGGUCGGGGCUGGGCAUGAGAUUGUUCACUUCUGACAAGCUCCCAAAUGAUGCUAUUAUAACACCGGUCAUCUAGGAACUACUUCGGUAACUAGGCGAUAGACCACUUCCAAGUCAGAGGAGAAG